AGCUUUAAAUUCCUAAGGAUAUUAAAUUGCAAAUUUAAAGGCAUAAAAUUAUUAAGGCUU
rnacentral:tRNA from 1 species